UCCUGAAGAAUACAGAACAGAUGUUCAAGGGGAAAUGCCUGAACACUGCCAAACCUGAUGGAUUUAAUAAAUGAAUGCUGCCAAAUCUGGUGGAUUUGAUAAAUUUAAUGCAUUAUAAGGUUGGUUCUCACAUGUUUUUUAGAAAUUCAGAAAGCUUACUGUGUGGUACAUUCCACCUGAACAUAUGCUGUAUAUGCAGCUACGUCCAGAAAAGUUUUUAAAUAUGCAAUGUGCAUUGUUCCAUACAAUUUGAAAGAGCAUCCAGAUGAUAUUUUCCUAUAAUCGUGGAGCCAUGGUAUUUUUUUUUGUCCAUUUUUUUCCUGAAAGAGAGUAACACUUUUAGGCAGAAUGAUCAAAAUCAAAAGUAUAAAACCCCCAAAUUAUGGAUAUUCCAUACCACAAAAAUCCCAUAGGUUAGGGGUCAGCAACAUAUAGCCUAAGAGCUCUAUACAGCCCCCAGCACCCAUUUGUACUGCUACAGCACCAUGAGAUCAGGCUGCUGAAACUCUGUGACAAAAAUGGCCAAUUUUUAGUGGUGUGAUUUUGAUCUUUGGGGAGAAUUUGAUGUAGUCUUAAGGAUAGGAAUGGGUGUGAUUUCCUCUUGAAGGCCUACUCCCAUCCAUAUCCUGAGCCACCCUGCAACUAAGGUUAAAAAAAUCAUGUAGAAAAAAUUGGGCCAUACUCCUUCUGGUGCUAGUUACUAGCAGCAAGGCCCACAGGUUUUCUGCUGUCCAUUCUCCAAUCCUUCAGAGUAAUCACUCAGUGGGACUGGAGAACUCCUGGCAACCAGCACAGCUCCUGUAGUAGCAGUAUAACAUAGGCAAACUGAACUCAACUCAUUACUUCUCAGGCUGCUUCACUAUGGACCAGUUCAGAUUCCAGAUGGUCAUCAAAGGGAGCCUCAUGUAUAAAAAGUUGCAACGAUCCAACCAUGAGGUGACAAAGGCACAAGCAAUCAACAUUAAAGCCUCCCAGCCCAGGAAUGGCUGCAAUGUGUGCAGAGGGAAAACUCUUUUUUGCCUGUCAUAUCAUAUUCUUCUUGGAAGGGUUGGGAGGGAGUCCAAAGCAAAUUUGGAAGGAACAAAAGGCUGCAAUGAAAAGAAAGGGAAAGGAAGUUUACAGGAGCACAUGCAAGAGCAAAUCCUUCCUUGCAUGACUCUAAAUUUCAUCCUGCUCAUCUCUGUGGGCUGCUUUACUCUUAUUUGUCAAGCAAUGUAUCCAUGGUAUUUUAAAAAGUAUAAACCAGAAAUAAAGAUUAUUUUGAAAAUAA